UAUGGCCAUAUCAUAUUAAAACAUUGGUUCUCGUACGAUUUCCGAAGUAAAGCAACAUUGAGCCUACUCAGUACUUAAAUGGGUGACCACUUGGCAAUACAAAGAGCUGUAAG